GGGGGUAUGGUGGAAUUGGUAGACACGCAAGACUUAGAAUCUUGUGCUUAACGGCGUAGGAGUUCAAGUCUCCUUACCCCCACCA
rnacentral:tRNA from 1 species